rnacentral:rRNA from 1 species
UCCCUAUCUGCCGUGGGCGCUGGAGAAUUGAGGGGGGCUGCUCCUAGUACGAGAGGACCGGAGUGGACGCAUCACUGGUGUUCGGGUUGUCAUGCCAAUGGCACUGCCCGGUAGCUAAAUGCGGAAGAGAUAAGUGCUGAAAGCAUCUAAGCACGAAACUUGCCCCGAGAUGAGUUCUCCCUGAGACUUUAAGUCUCCUGAAGGAACGUUAAAGACGAUGACGUUGAUAGGCCGGGUGUGUAAGCGCAGCGAUGCGUUGAGCUAACCGGUACUAAUGAACCGUGAGGC